UUUCGCCGACCCGGAUGGUUCGGCCUCGUACGGCCACUUGUACGACCAUCCUUUGUACGGACGACCCGACUUCAACUCCUCUCCAUUCUUCUAUGCUUCUUUAAACCUUCAGUCUAUUAUCAUGCAGCCUUCUCUAUUUGAUCACUUUGUUCAACACUGGAUAUUAAGCUUAACUGGAAUUCUUCUCUAUUACUUGUGAGAGCCUUCAUGGCUACUGUAG
rnacentral:lncRNA from 1 species